CCCAGCACAGAGCAGAGUAGAACAGAGUAGGAUUGGAGCUGAGAGAUAGUAAGUAAAUAGGCAGCAGAAAUAUGUCAAGCAACAAUACCCCAUGUCAGCAUUUUACCUAUGGAUGGCAUUUUCUAUUUUCGGUGACGGACUAUGAGCCAGGAUAAACACAUUACUCCCUUCUUUAACAAAAAGAGCAUGGUUAACUCCAAAGACUUCUCUAGACCAGCCUGGAUGGUACCUAAACUUUAAUCAACCAAUGCUCAAGUAAAAGAGCAGUAUCCAGCCCCAGCACACCUAACUGUUUUGCAUAACAUAGUCUCUGAUUUCAGGAGCAGAGGAAAAUAUAUAAGAAGAGAUUUACCUGGGUAGCAGUUAAGUUUCCCAAUCUCCAUCGUACAUAAUAUCGAAUAGGAAUCACAAGUGUGUAGAGGACAUGAAGGAAGGCAAAUCCCAGAGCUACCAAGCCAAGCUGCUUUCGGCAAAGCAUCCAGUGGUCAAGCCAGUCUGGGAAUCGACGGUAUUUUGUGCCUCGGUACAGUUGUAGAAUGGCAGCAAUAACACCAGGAAGGUAAACCAAAGCAAGCAGUUGCUCCUGACUGGAGAGCCCAGGCUGAGAUGGUGUUAAAUGCUUUUACCACGUGGGCUCCUGGCACCAAAUGAGCAAGAUCUCACCCCACAGGCCUUGGAAACCUGAGGCAGUAUUCUUCUGGGAUGUUUCCAACUAGGCUUCCCAUGAGGAUGUUAGAGCCAGCCUGGCUGGUGAAUUUUACUUCUCUCACCUCUCAGAGGUAAGAGGUCUGAGAGGCUCAGGCCUUUCCAGCUUUUGAGGA
rnacentral:antisense_RNA from 1 species